AAUAGGCCCACGCGUCCGGCGGCGCCGCCGCCGUCGUCGGUGACGCGAACGGAUUCAGGCUGUUGUUGAGCGACGUGAAGGAGCCUGAGAAAGAUGAUGAGGAGUACAGAUGCAACUUUACCUGAUAGUCCGGGGCUGGCGGAACCCGCGGCCAUGUAGGGAGUCUUGCGAGGCGGUUCCUUCUUCCGCCACUUUGCCCGACGAUUUUGGAACCACACCUGAACGCGGGUUUCGGAGAGCGCGAGCUUCAACGCGAGUUCAUCGCGUGCGAAGACAUCCGGAUAAGGAGCCCGCUCGAACGCUCUCUCCAGUUCCUCCAAUUGAUAAGCCGUGAAAGUUGUUCUAAAGAAAUCAAGACCGUUUUUGUUGUAGAAGAGACUCGGCAGGGGGAACAACGAUUAUGGGGAAUAUGAUAAUUGAUAUAGGACUUUUGGAGUAAAGGUGCGAUAAUGCGGGUGACUGC